GCUGGCGGCAUGCCUUACACAUGCAAGUCGAACGGCAGCACGGACUUCGGUCUGGUGGCGAGUGGCGAACGGGUGAGUAAUACAUCGGAACGUGUCCUGGAGUGGGGGAUAGCCCGGCGAAAGCCGGAUUAAUACCGCAUACGCUCUGUGGAGGAAAGCGGGGGAUCUUCGGACCUCGCGCUCAAGGGGCGGCCGAUGGCAGAUUAGCUAGUUGGUGGGGUAAAGGCCUACCAAGGCGACGAUCUGUAGCUGGUCUGAGAGGACGACCAGCCACACUGGGACUGAGACACGGCCCAGACUCCUACGGGAGGCAGCAGUGGGGAAUUUUGGACAAUGGGCGCAAGCCUGAUCCAGCAAUGCCGCGUGUGUGAAGAAGGCCUUCGGGUUGUAAAGCACUUUUGUCCGGAAAGAAACCUCGUGGUUAAUACCCGUGGGGGAUGACGGUACCGGAAGAAUAAGCACCGGCUAACUACGUGCCAGCAGCCGCGGUAAUACGUAGG
rnacentral:rRNA from 1 species